CGAAAAUUCAGAGUCUUAAUGCAACAGAAGAUGCUUGAAUUAUAUGACAAUCACAUGUGGAAACUUUAACAAACCGCAGCCUUCGAUAAUGUAAUAGGGAGUACAAGAGAAAAGGUAGUAUCUUGCAUUUAGAGAUUGAAAGAGGCUGAACAGAAACACACUGAACAAGGAGUGGCCCUGACAAGCUAUCACUCUAAAACCUCCAGAAACUGAUGUUUGGAAAGACUAGCUCAGAAACUUAUCAAAAAUAAUGAGGCCAUGGACAUGUGAAUGGAAAUGCAAUGCUUAAGGUUCAAACCUGGAACAAACUGCAUUGUGGCAGCUAUGUGAAAUGGGUGUAUUAUGCAUCUGAAAGCAUGAGAAAUGAGCACAAGCAUAAAGGGAGUCAGAAACCAUGAGAAAGUCAUUACUGCUUUGUCCAUUGUUAAACCUGCUAGAGAUGCAGCAAGACUACAUUGUUCUAGAGAGGUUAAUUAGGGCUGCUUGACCUUUCAGGGGUUAAUCUGUUGACAGGUUCAUUGACAGCCCUGAGUUAAUAGGUAGGUAUAUACAUGUCUCAAUUUAUAGACCUCGAUUGCCAUCACAACAUUGAUGUUAAGAAAGUCAUACUUCUUUCUGUAAAAGACUAAGCAUGCUAUAGCAACAGAAACAGUAGCAGAUAAAUUAUUCGCAUUAAGGGGAGUGCAGGUUUUUUUCCUAAGUGCACAUAUGCAUGUUAUUUGCUCUUAUUAUUUAAGGAGUAAUUUCACCUGGUACUGAAACCAGUUGUCUCUAGGGUGAAUCACCAUAUGGGUAUGGUCACCCAGCAACACUACACAGCUAUACAGAUUACAAACAUUUAAAGUUUGUUAAUCCUUUGUGGUUUUCUCCACAUUACAAUUUAUAAUCGAGUUUUAACAGGUAGAAGAAACACAACUGUAAACUGCAAAACAGAUGAGUAAAAAUAAGCUGGUAAACACCUUAUCACUUUUAAGCAAGCAGUUUGUCAUGGGUAUGCCCUUAAUGGCCUUUAGUAUUCAUUGUCUAAUAAAGCUUUUAUAUUUAAAUUUAGGGUUUGAUCCUCAAAAAGCACCACACUGCUUCAGUUCAGUCUUGGAUCCAAACACAAUGUUUAUAAGGAUUUACAGGGACUAAGUGUCCUGCAGAGUGGCUUCACUCUGGGAAUGAUGCAAAACUCCCUGAAGUGAGUAACUGUAGUUGUGUCUAAGAGUUUCCAUCCUACCCUCCAAAGCUCAGAGUUUAGACUUGAUUGUUUUUAGUUUUAAGCUUUGUGCUGACUUGCACAGCUUGGAUCAGUCUUCCCACUGACGGAGAAGAACCAAUGAAAGCUUGGGAAUCAGUAUCAGGUUGAGGAGGAAGUUGGUAAUGCAGAGUGACAGGAUGAAGAUUUGACUCCUCACCUAUAUAACACUGGGAACGCGUAUUUCUUUGGAAGAGGAAGUCUGGCUUUACUGAAAUCACCGGCCAGCUCCAAUCCAUCUGAAUGACAUGCCAGCCAUCUUACUCUCCCACAAAAUUCUGCCUACCCUUCGCCUCUUUGAUGACUUUUAAUAUUUAUAGCUUGGACCUAUUAAGACAUUAAUAAAGCAAUUUCUUCUUGCAAUAA